AAAUCUUAAACACUAUUUGUCCUACAUAUAUAUCAAAUAUGUGAAUGUAUUAUGUAAAGCAGGUGACAACAUUUUAGUAAAAUUUGGAAAAACACAAUUGUUUCUUUGGAUUAUUAGUGUUUCAUACUAUUAAUGCAUUGUCUUAAAGUAUACAUCCCUAUAAUUAUGGUUCAAAUAUUUACAACACUAACUCAAGGAAGUUUUAGUAGUAUAGUAGUCCCCCAAGUUUAUUCAUGCGAGAUGUAUUUCAAGACCCUUAGUAGAUACUUGAAACCUAGGAUAGUACUAAGCCUAUAUAUACUGUGUUUUUGUAUACAUACCUACCUAUAAUAAACUUUAAUUUAUAAAUUAGGCACAGUAAGAGAUUAACAACAAUAACUAAUAUAAAAAUAAAAUUAUUAUAAUAUACUCUAAUAAAAGUUGUUUGAAUUUGAUCUUUAUCUCUCGAAAUAUUGUAUCGUAUUAUAACUACUCAUCUAUUUUAGGACUGUAACUGAAACUGCAGAUAAAGGGGGAAUACUUUAUAGUUAUAUCAGAUAAAAGAUAAAUGAGAAUUCAGCCAAGCACUGUAUGCUAGACCAAGAAUGUAUACUUUGUUGCUGAGUUUUGCAAGUAAUAAGCAAUCUGUAGUGAGGUGAUGCAGCUGGCUUGGAGAACAGAAGCUGGACAUAAAAUGUUCAAAGGGUUGUAUGGCUAGCUUUGGGACUGAGUGACUAUGCAUAAAGCCUAAAAAAAAAAAAAAAGAACAGGGUCAGUGGAUUCUCAAGGUACGAUGGAUCAUGUUAUCUCAUCUUCGUCACUUAAGGAGUUUCUUACAUGUUUAAGUGCAGAGUGACUGAUUAGCAAAGUCAUGCGUGGAGCACUGAGAGCUUCACCAUGCUGUUGCUAUGCAUGUUGUGUUGUUGUUUGUCCUGUGUUCUUUAAUAAAGCAAAGCAAAUGUUUAUUAGUUAAAACCUGACCUGUCUCAUUAUUUUAUUCAAUGAUGUGAAGUCAAGACCACUGCUGCCAGUUGAGCAGAGUGAAGGAGGCACUCAACAAUACCUUUUUGAUUAAACUCGUUUCUGCCAGUUGCUUUUGCCAAUGCUGAAGUUUGAAUAGGACACAUACUAUAAAAAAGAAACCAAAAUUUAACGAUCAUCUGUUUCAACUCUUCUAUUUAUCAGAGCCCAAACCUAGAGAAACCACAGAAGUAAGAAACAAAUAUGGAUAAAAACAUUAAGGAAAACACUAUUAAAAAUCUCCUAGAAGACAGAAGGCCUCUGUGGUAUGGUGUUAAGCAGAAAAACUUAGCCCAGAGGUCGAGGGCCCAGUGCAAUGGGAGGGGUUUGAUGCCCUUUUAUCUUAACUUUGUACUGGGUGCACCAUUUUAUAUUCUUUCCACUUUGUGUUAGAAGAAUAGUGUCAAGAACAUGAUGAGUCUGAAUGCUUACCCUACUUACACAGUAGCCUGACAUCGUUUUAUGAAUAUUGGCAGAAGGCCCAGACUCAAGGCAAGAAACCAAGGUCAGUUUAUUACCCACAGCGACAGGAGCAGUCAGAGGAUAAUCAUUUUCUUGCUGUUUCCCGAAGGUCUGAUUCACAGGGCAAUGUGAUAAGGGCCAGAUGACACAACAAGGACAGGUGAUACCUGCCUGUAUAGUGUGUUGCACUACAGGAAAGGAAACUUGAGCUUAGGAAACUGUAUCUUUUGUAAUGGGCUGUAGACAAACCUUCCCUUUUCACUGGGUGAGAAACAUUACCUCUUAUGUUCCAGGACAUAAGCAAACCUUUUUACUCUCAAGGGAGACACUUUCAUCUUCUUCUAAGGCUGUUCACCAUGUAGACAUCCUUGAAAAGGCAUUUCAGAAUGAGGGUAGACAGUGCCUUUGCUCAUAAUAUGGGCUUAAAUGUGAGGGACCCGUAGAGUAUUGUAUCCCAACUGAUAGUAGCAGAAGUUCAGGGUCACAGAGUAAUAUCAAGUGAAACAAGAAUCAAAAUUGGGUGAAAAGUAGAUUUUGUUUCAUGCAAACACAAUAUCCACUGCUGCGUGUCCCCUGGUCAACACUUCCUCAUCCUGAGUCCAGAGACAUUAAAUAAAGAGAAAGAGGAGCUCUAAGAAAGAAUCCAAUUUAAGGAAUGUAAAAAGAAAAACAGGCAAUUAAAAUCUAAAGAAAACAAAGGUAACAACAUUUAUAUCAAACAAAAUAUAAUACAAGAAGAAAAAUAGCUUCAAGGGCAGAGAGAGAUAUAAUACAGAUUUCAGGAGGAGGAGUGGAUUAAGAAACUGUGACAGUGACUGACAGAUACACACAUAGUUAUACAGCCCUAAAACACAAAAUAAGGGCAUUGAGUUAAUGCAUGUAAUGUGUCUGGUCUUGUUCUUAACUCUUUAAAA
rnacentral:lncRNA from 10 species